rnacentral:rRNA from 1 species
GGGUUGUGAGGUUAAGCGACUAAGCGUACACGGUGGAUGCCCUGGCAGUCAGAGGCGAUGAAGGACGUGCUAAUCUGCGAUAAGCGUCGGUGAGGUGAUAUGAACCGUUAUAACCGGCGAUUUCCGAAUGGGGAAACCCAGUGUGUUUCGACACACUAUCAUUAACUGAAUCCAUAGGUUAAUGAGGCGAACCGGGGGAACUGAAACAUCUAAGUACCCCGAGGAAAAGAAAUCAACCGAGAUUCCCCCAGUAGCGGCGAGCGAACGGGGAGGAGCCCAGAGCCUGAAUCAGUGUGUGUGUUAGUGGAAGCGUCUGGAAAGGCGCGCGAUACAGGGUGACAGCCCCGUACACAAAAAUGCACAUGCUGUGAGCUCGAUGAGUAGGGCGGGACACGUGGUAUCCUGUCUGAAUAUGGGGGGACCAUCCUCCAAGGCUAAAUACUCCUGACUGACCGAUAGUGAACCAGUACCGUGAGGGAAAGGCGAAAAGAACCCCGGCGAGGGGAGUGAAAAAGAACCUGAAACCGUGUACGUACAAGCAGUGGGAGCCUCUUAAUGGGGUGACUGCGUACCUUUUGUAUAAUGGGUCAGCGACUUAUAUUCUGUAGCAAGGUUAACCGAAUAGGGGAGCCGAAGGGAAACCGAGUCUUAACUGGGCGUUAAGUUGCAGGGUAUAGACCCGAAACCCGGUGAUCUAGCCAUGGGCAGGUUGAAGGUUGGGUAACACUAACUGGAGGACCGAACCGACUAAUGUUGAAAAAUUAGCGGAUGACUUGUGGCUGGGGGUGAAAGGCCAAUCAAACCGGGAGAUAGCUGGUUCUCCCCGAAAGCUAUUUAGGUAGCGCCUCGUGAAUUCAUCUCCGGGGGUAGAGCACUGUUUCGGCAAGGGGGUCAUCCCGACUUACCAACCCGAUGCAAACUGCGAAUACCGGAGAAUGUUAUCACGGGAGACACACGGCGGGUGCUAACGUCCGUCGUGAAGAGGGAAACAACCCAGACCGCCAGCUAAGGUCCCAAAGUCAUGGUUAAGUGGGAAACGAUGUGGGAAGGCCCAGACAGCCAGGAUGUUGGCUUAGAAGCAGCCAUCAUUUAAAGAAAGCGUAAUAGCUCACUGGUCGAGUCGGCCUGCGCGGAAGAUGUAACGGGGCUAAACCAUGCACCGAAGCUGCGGCAGCGACACUAUGUGUUGUUGGGUAGGGGAGCGUUCUGUAAGCCUGUGAAGGUGUGCUGUGAGGCAUGCUGGAGGUAUCAGAAGUGCGAAUGCUGACAUAAGUAACGAUAAAGCGGGUGAAAAGCCCGCUCGCCGGAAGACCAAGGGUUCCUGUCCAACGUUAAUCGGGGCAGGGUGAGUCGACCCCUAAGGCGAGGCCGAAAGGCGUAGUCGAUGGGAAACAGGUUAAUAUUCCUGUACUUGGUGUUACUGCGAAGGGGGGACGGAGAAGGCUAUGUUGGCCGGGCGACGGUUGUCCCGGUUUAAGCGUGUAGGCUGGUUUUCCAGGCAAAUCCGGAAAACCAAGGCUGAGGCGUGAUGACGAGGCACUACGGUGCUGAAGCGACAAAUGCCCUGCUUCCAGGAAAAGCCUCUAAGCAUCAGGUAACAUCAAAUCGUACCCCAAACCGACACAGGUGGUCAGGUAGAGAAUACCAAGGCGCUUGAGAGAACUCGGGUGAAGGAACUAGGCAAAAUGGUGCCGUAACUUCGGGAGAAGGCACGCUGAUAUGUAGGUGAAGCGACUUGCUCGUGGAGCUGAAAUCAGUCGAAGAUACCAGCUGGCUGCAACUGUUUAUUAAAAACACAGCACUGUGCAAACACGAAAGUGGACGUAUACGGUGUGACGCCUGCCCGGUGCCGGAAGGUUAAUUGAUGGGGUUAGCGGUAACGCGAAGCUCUUGAUCGAAGCCCCGGUAAACGGCGGCCGUAACUAUAACGGUCCUAAGGUAGCGAAAUUCCUUGUCGGGUAAGUUCCGACCUGCACGAAUGGCGUAAUG